AAUAGAUACCCUGGUAGUCCACGCCCGUAAACGAUGAGUGCUAAGUGUUAGAGGGUUUCCGCCCGUUUAGUGCUGCAGCUAACGCAUUAAGCACUCCGCCUGGGGAGUACGGCCGCAAGGCUGAAACUCAAAGGAAUUGACGGGGGCCCGCACAAGCGGUGGAGCAUGUGGUUUAAUUCGAAGCAACGCGAAGAACCUUACCAGGUCUUGACAUCCUCUGCCAACCCUAGAGAUAGGGCGUUCCCCUUCGGGGGACAGAGUGACAGGUGGUGCAUGGUUGUCGUCAGCUCGUGUCGUGAGAUGUUGGGUUAAGUCCCGCAACGAGCGCAACCCUUGAUCUUAGUUGCCAGCAUUCAGUUGGGCACUCUAAGGUGACUGCCGGUGACAAGCCGGAGGAAGGUGGGGAUGACGUCAAAUCAUCAUGCCCCUUAUGACCUGGGCUACACACGUGCUACAAUGGAUGGUACAAAGNGCUGCGAACCCGCGAGGGUAAGCGAAUCUCAUAAAGCCAUUCUCAGUUCGGAUUGGU
rnacentral:rRNA from 1 species